rnacentral:rRNA from 1 species
AUUGAACGCUGGCGGCAUGCCUUACACAUGCAAGUUGAACGGUAACAGGUCUUCGGAUGCUGACGAGUGGCGAACGGGUGAGUAAUACAUCGGAACGUGCCCGAUCGUGGGGGAUAACGGAGCGAAAGCUUUGCUAAUACCGCAUACGAUCUACGGAUGAAAGCAGGGGACCGCAAGGCCUUGCGCGGACGGAGCGGCCGAUGGCAGAUUAGGUAGUUGGUGGGAUAAAAGCUUACCAAGCCGACGAUCUGUAGCUGGUCUGAGAGGACGACCAGCCACACUGGGACUGAGACACGGCCCAGACUCCUACGGGAGGCAGCAGUGGGGAAUUUUGGACAAUGGGGGCAAGCCUGAUCCAGCCAUGCCGCGUGCAGGAUGAAGGCCUUCGGGUUGUAAACUGCUCUUGUACGGAACGAAAAGACUCUGGUUAAUACCUGGGGUCCAUGACGGUACCGUAAGAAUAAGCACCGGCUAACUACGUGCCAGCCGCCGCAGUAACAC